CUGAGCAUUAUGCUAACAAGAUAAAGGCAAGAAUAACAUGUGGGGAUGUGCGGCUGCAGGCACGCUGGGCCUGUUCUACUGGAAACGCAAGGCUGAGGAGCUCUGUGCCUUGAGAUGGAUGGCAAGUAACUACUUGGUUAGUGUAAAGCAGAGAGGAGAAUUAGGAGAGGCAGAUGGCAGAGAGGUCUGCCAUGGAAGAUUCAUGGAUGACAGGAGAGGCUGUGUUCCAGAAUGCAAGGAAGAAGAGCCCAAGGACCGUAGCAAGGCCCUGAUUCUGGGAGACAAGAGAACACGCUGA
ensembl:lincRNA